UCCGCUGUGGUGUAAUCGGCAGCACGGGGGUUUUUGGUGCCCCUUGUCCAGGUUCGAGUCCUGGCAGCGGAG
rnacentral:tRNA from 2 species